AAAAAAGGUAAGCUACUAAGAGCGAAUGGUGGAUGCCUUGACUGGUAAAGGCGAUGAAGGACGUACUAGACUGCGAUAAGCUACGGGGAGCUGUCAAGAAGCUUUGAUCCGUAGAUUUCCGAAUGGGGCAACCCAAUGUAUAGAGAUAUACAUUACCUAUAUAGGAGCGAACGAGGGGAAUUGAAACAUCUUAGUACCCUCAGGAAAAGAAAUCAAUAGAGAUUGCGUCAGUAGCGGCGAGCGAAAGCGCAAGAGGGCAAACCCAGUGCUUGCACUGGGGGUUGUAGGACUGCAAUGUGCAAGAGGUGAGUUUAGCAGAACAUUCUGGAAAGUAUAGCCAUAGAGGGUGAUAGUCCCGUAUGCGAAAAACAAACCUUAGCUAGCAGUAUCCUGAGUAGGGCGGGACACGAGAAAUCCUGUCUGAAGCUGGGUCGACCACGAUCCAACCCUAAAUACUAAUACCAGAUCGAUAGUGCACAAGUACCGUGAGGGAAAGGUGAAAAGAACUGAGGUGAUCAGAGUGAAAUAGAACCUGAAACCAUUUGCUUACAAUCAUUCAGAGCCCUAUGUAGCAAUACAGGGUGAUGGACUGCCUUUUGCAUAAUGAGCCUGCGAGUUGUGGUGUCUGGCAAGGUUAAGCAAACGCGAAGCCGUAGCGAAAGCGAGUCUGAAUAGGGCGCUUAGUCAGAUGCUGCAGACCCGAAACGAAGUGAUCUAUCCAUGAGCAAGUUGAAGCUAGUGUAAGAACUAGUGGAGGACUGAACCCAUAGGCGUUGAAAAGCCCCGGGAUGACUUGUGGAUAGGGGUGAAAGGCCAAUCAAACUUCGUGAUAGCUGGUUCUCUCCGAAAUAUAUUUAGGUAUAGCGUUGUGUCGUAAUAUAAGGGGGUAGAGCACUGAAUGGGCUAGGGCAUACACCAAUGUACCAAACCCUAUCAAACUCCGAAUACCUUAUAUGUAAUCACAGCAGUCAGGCGGCGAGUGAUAAAAUCCGUCGUCAAGAGGGAAACAACCCAGACUACCAGCUAAGGUCCCUAAAUCUUACUUAAGUGGAAAACGAUGUGAAGUUACUUAAACAACCAGGAGGUUGGCUUAGAAGCAGCCAUCCUUUAAAGAAAGCGUAAUAGCUCACUGGUCUAGUGAUUUUGCGCGGAAAAUAUAACGGGGCUAAAGUA
rnacentral:rRNA from 2 species